CCUGGUUGAUCCUGCCAGUAGUCAUAUGCUUGUCUCAAAGAUUAAGCCAUGCAUGUCUAAGUACAUGCCUAAGCAAGGUGAAACCGCGAAUGGCUCAUUAAAUCAGUUAUGGUUCCUUAGAUCGUACCUUUUUACUUGGAUAACUGUGGUAAUUCUAGAGCUAAUACAUGCAGCAGAGCUCCGACCUUCGGGGACGAGCGCUUUUAUUAGACCAAGACCAAUCGGGCUUCGGUCCGAAACUCCUGGUGACUCUGGAUAACUUUGAGCAGAUCGCACGGUCUCGUACCGGCGACGCAUCUUUCAAGUGUCUGCCUUAUCAACUGUCGAUGGUAGGUUAUGCGCCUACCAUGGUCGUAACGGGUAACGGGGAAUCAGGGUUCGAUUCCGGAGAGGGAGCCUGAGAAACGGCUACCACAUCCAAGGAAGGCAGCAGGCGCGCAAAUUACCCACUCCCGGCACGGGGGAGGUAGUGACGAAAAUAACAAUACGGGACUCUAUUGAGGCCUCGUAAUUGGAAUGAGUACACUCUAAAUCCUUUAACGAGGAUCUAUUGGAGGGCAAGUCUGGUGCCAGCAGCCGCGGUAAUUCCAGCUCCAAUAGCGUAUAUUAAAGUUGUUGCGGUUAAAAAGCUCGUAGUUGGAUCUCAGUUCCAGACGGGUGGUCCACCGCCCGGUGGCUACUGCCCGGCCUGAACAAUCUCGCCGGUUUUCCUUGAUUCUCUUCACCGAGUGUCUUGGGUGACCGGCACGUUUACUUUAGAAGGAAUAUAAUCCGCUAGAGGAAAUAAGAGAACUAUUACAUGAAGAAAACCAGCAGAAUUCAAUUAAUAGUGAUGAUGGCCUACAUAUAGAAACAAAUAACUUAAAAAUUGCCUUUCAGUCACAAAAAGAAGCGGCUUCACUUGACCAUAUACUAAAUUCUAUGACCUGCAUGCAAAUAAGUGAAAAUGAGAAAACAGUAAUUAAAACAACAAAU
rnacentral:rRNA from 1 species